rnacentral:lncRNA from 1 species
ACUAACCGCAGAGCUGAGGCCAGUGCAGGCUCCUCUGCCUCCUACCGCCCAGGGCAAGCUUAGGAGGUGUCCUAAACCUGCCUAAAUUGCCAGGGCAACUGUGAGGCAAUGCACAGAAGCUCACUCGGCCACAGGGUGAUACAGUGGACCCACGCAGAGCCAAGGAAGCUGCACAGGGACAAGGGCUGAUGAUAUUGAAAGUUCAUAUGGAUCAGGUGAUUUCACUGUGAAAGGCUUCCUCCACAGACUGAGCAUCAUCAAUGACUGGGCAAAAUUCCACUGGGCUCUUCUAGACUUUUUCCAAGGACUAUUUCUGGAAACAAACUUCAACAUUCCCAGAAAGUCACAUGAAGAGUUCACACCGAGUCUCAGAGGAGCCAAUGAACAAAAUCUGGGACUAUAAAGACCAUGAAGUCCUUUGAAGAGUGACUAAGCGCAUUGUACACCGAGAUGCACAGGAGCCUGUAGAAACUAAGACAUUUGGAGCAGCAGGAUGCCAUUGAGAAGAGGUUGGGAAUGUUAAAGCUGUAAGUUCCAGUCCAUUCUCAGAAAGCUAACCAAGAGACGUCUUGUAUCAGAUCAACUCUCAGAAUCAGAAGGUCUCAGAGGGCAUAAGAGUGGGCCAGUUCCUACGUAAGAGUUGGUCCUUCAGCAUGUGGUUGCAGAUUACAUCUCCAAGGCUGAGGCAGGAACCUGGCUGCUUCCUCCAGCUGGAGCACUGGGUCUUGAUCUGUUUGUGCUAGUGGUUUAGAGGAAAGCUACAGUCUUCCUCCUCAUCUUCUUCCAUUAGUGGCCCUAUGAGUGUGACUAUAGAGUCAUCAAUCUUCCGUCAAAGUCAGGGAUCCAACUGAGAACUAGGCAGGUGAAACUGACAUGUAUGCAGUUUCAGGAGCUCCUUGCCUUAUGCAUGUAUUGUAGGUAAAGAACAGGGACCAAUCAGGGGAAAGCCUGCCAAACCCAGAGAAGAAAGGACAGCCAGAAACUACCCAGGACAGAGAAUCGGGUGGGGGGAGGGAUUCAAUCAGGUCUGCUGCUCUGUCCCCUAUCCCUCACUGCACUGCAGAGAAAGCUGGACAAGAAGGCAGGAGAUUAUGGUCCAAUCGCAAUCGCAACUGGAGUUUUCACCUGUGUUCAUUUCCCAGUGUUAUUUUUAAAAGUCUCCAGCUGUUGAUUCAACCUCCAGUUGGGGCUGCUAUUAUCUUUCCCUCUCCUUUCAACAUGAAUCCCUUGGGGCUAGAGGUAAAGAUGACUAGAAUGCCCUAUGAAAACCUCUGCCAUGGUAUAGAUGACUAGAAUACCCUAUGAAGAACCUCUGCCAUUUGCUACCUCCCUCUUCUGUUCUGGAAAGGCCCUGAGUCCUAGGAUAAAGAACACAUAGGAGCCACAGUUUCCCACAUGUGUCCUUGUUUGUUCUGUGUGCCCACAUAAAGCUUACCUUAACACAGUGUCCUCAGAGCCAUGGAGCGCGAUAUGCAGUAGCUGAGCACUUUAAAUCCAAGGAGAUGCAUGCCUGAGUGACUGAUCACUCUGCUCUUCCUCCCUCUCCAAGCUGGGUCUCCUGUCUCAUUUGUUGAUUUUUAUUUUCUCUCCCCCAUUACUUCCUAUUCCCACCUCAUACAACUCCCUCCUCACUAGGACAGUGUCUAGAUAAAACCUCCAAUUUACUUCACCCUGAGACUGUACAUAAUUCUGGUUUACCAAUAGACAAGGACAUGGGUAAAAGCAGAGAUAAAACCAAAUGUCAAGUUAUACCUGGCUUUCUCCUGUCAGUUGUUUUUAUAAAUCUCACCUUGCCCACUCAUUUUUGGGGGGACACCCUCAUUUGACAAAUCUGACAAACAUGAUGAGGGUUUGGAGGGUAAUAUGAAGCAGCAAAGUCUUAAGAGGCAUAUCCUACUUUUCCUCCCACCCCUACCCCCCCACCCCCGGGCUGGCCUGAACUAGAUUCUGAUGUCUCAAUGUGUUCGGGGACACUUUGAAAGGUCUUCUUUGAUAAACUGUAGGAGAAGCUUGUUUCUUCUGUGUAUACCCCACUGCUCCUGAGUAAGCAAAUACAUGGUUCAGUCAUAAAGCCUCUCUGGGCUUUGCUCAGAAUAGUUGUCCUCUCCUGCACAACAGGGGCAUUUGUCUCCCCUCUCUGCUCUCACUGGUCUUUAUCAGUUCAUAAAAUGUCAAAGGGAGGGUCACUGGCUCUGCUUCUGGGGGUACAGAGAGAAAGUGUCAGGGUCUUCAGCAGAAGAGAAAGAUGUCACCCCUGAGUUCCUAAUCUUUGCUUGCAUCUUAUAACCAUUGUCCUGAUGCCUGGUCCCUAAUAGGUGGUAUAAAACCAUAGUUUCUUU